rnacentral:rRNA from 1 species
AGUCGAACGAGAGACCUUCGGGUCUCUAGUGGCGAACGGGUGAGUAACACGUAGGGAACCUGCCCGUGCACCGGGAAUACGCUCUGGAAACGGAGAACAAAUCCCGAUGUACAGGAAGGAGGCAUCUUCUUUCUGUGAAACAUCCUUUAGGGGAUGGGGCGCGGAUGGACCUGCGGUGCAUUAGUUGGUUGGCGGGGUAAAGGCCUACCAAGACGAUGAUGCAUAGCCGGCCUGAGAGGGCGGACGGCCACAUUGGGACUGAGACACGGCCCAGACUCCUGCGGGAGGCAGCAGUAGGGAAUAUUGGUCAAUGGCCGGAAGGCUGAACCAGCCAUGCCGCGUGAAGGUCAGUGCCCUAUGGGCGUUAAACUUCUUUUGUGCGGGAGCAAUAAUGGUCACGUGUGGCCAGACGAGAGUACCGUACGAAUAAGCAUCGGCUAACUCCGUGCCAGCAGCCGCGGUAAUACGGGGGAUGCAAGCGUUAUCCGGAUUUAUUGGGUUUAAAGGGUGCGUAGGCUGUGAGGUAAGUCAGCGGUGAAAUGCCCCCGCUCAACGGGGUGAAGUGCCAUUGAUACUGCCUUGCUGGAAUGCGGAUGCCGUGGGAGGAAUGUGUGGUGUAGCGGUGAAAUGCAUAGAUAUCACACAGAACACCGAUUGCGAAGGCAUCUCACGAAUCCGCGAUUGACGCUGAUGCACGAAAGCGUGGGUAUCAAACAGGAUUAGAUACCCUGGUAGUCCACGCUGUAAACGAUGAUGACUAACCGUCGGCGAUACACAGUCGGUGGCCAAGCGAAAGCGAUAAGUCAUCCACCUGGGGAGUACG